AGUUUCGUGUAGGGGCUAGCACGUCGGCUUGACAUGCCGAAGGUUUCCAGUUCGAAUCUGGACGAAAUCA